rnacentral:rRNA from 1 species
GAUGAACGCUGGCGGCGUGCCUAAUACAUGCAAGUCGAGCGAACGGACGAGAAGCUUGCUUCUCUGAUGUUAGCGGCGGACGGGUGAGUAACACGUGGAUAACCUACCUAUAAGACUGGGAUAACUUCGGGAAACCGGAGCUAAUACCGGAUAAUAUUUUGAACCGCAUGGUUCAAAAGUGAAAGACGGUCUUGCUGUCACUUAUAGAUGGAUCCGCGCUGCAUUAGCUAGUUGGUAAGGUAACGGCUUACCAAGGCAACGAUGCAUAGCCGACCUGAGAGAGUGACCGGCCACACUGGAACUGAGACACGGUCCAGACUCCUACGGGAGGCAGCAGUAGGGAAUCUUCCGCAAUGGGCGAAAGCCUGACGGAGCAACGCCGCGUGAGUGAUGAAGGUCUUCGGAUCGUAAAACUCUGUUAUUAGUGAAGAACAUAUGUGUAAGUAAAUGUGCACAUCGUGACGGUACCUAAUCAGAAAGCCACGGCUAACUACGUG